GGGAGAGAAAUAAAAAGAAAGAGGGAGAGAGGAAAGAGAAGGGAAAAAAUUCUCAUCUAUUUCCUCCCCCCCGCCCCCUCCCCUCUUUUCCUUUCCUUCUAAUUUGUGAUUUUGAAUGCAACUCGAAAUUUUUGUUUGUAAAUCAAGAGAACAAGGUAGGGCAGGAACAGAAGAGGCUUUCAGUGACU
rnacentral:pre_miRNA from 13 species